GGAGGAGAGUGAGUAGUCGUCGUCUCCCGCCGCCAUCUUGUCCCAUGCGGCUUUUUGCGACCGUAGGAGCAGUUCCCCGAUAUCGUGGGUAGCCGGGUCUUUAUCUGCUCUGGUUUUUUUGUGCUUGCGACCCAUGGCUAGUCUUGUGCCGGGUGUGGGUGUUUGAGCCCGGGUAUUCUCCGGAUUGCGCCUGAUAUAAGGCUUCGUUUGCGGUCCGUAUCGGAGAGCUCUUGGAGAGUGCGACCGCUCUGCUCCGCUGCUAGCUCCGCCCCC